rnacentral:rRNA from 1 species
UACAGAGGGGGCAAGCGUUGUUCGGAAUUACUGGGCGUAAAGGGCGCGUAGGCGGCCUUCUAAGUCGAACGUGAAAUCCCCGGGCUCAACCCGGGAACUGCGUCCGAUACUGGAAGGCUUGAAUCCGGGAGAGGGAUGCGGAAUUCCAGGUGUAGCGGUGAAAUGCGUAGAUAUCUGGAGGAACACCGGUGGCGAAGGCGGCAUCCUGUACCGGCAUUGACGCUGAGGCGCGAAAGCCAGGGGAGCAAACGGG